rnacentral:rRNA from 1 species
AGUGAACGCUGGCGGUAGGCCUAACACAUGCAAGUCGAACGGCAGCACAGUAAGAGCUUGCUCUUACGGGUGGCGAGUGGCGGACGGGUGAGGAAUACAUCGGAAUCUACUUUUUCGUGGGGGAUAACGUAGGGAAACUUACGCUAAUACCGCAUACGACCUACGGGUGAAAGCAGGGGAUCUUCGGACCUUGCGCGAUUGAAUGAGCCGAUGUCGGAUUAGCUAGUUGGCGGGGUAAAGGCCCACCAAGGCGACGAUCCGUAGCUGGUCUGAGAGGAGGAUCAGCCACACUGGAACGGAGACACGGUCCAGACUCCUACGAGAGGCAGCAGUGGGGAAUAUUGGACAAUGGGCGCAAGCCUGAUCCAGCCAUACCGCGUGGGUGAAGAAGGCCUUCGGGUUGUAAAGCCCUUUUGUUGGGAAAGAAAAGCAGCAGGUUAAUACCCCGCUGUUCUGACGGUACCCAAAGAAUAAGCACCGGCUAACUUCGUG